GCACUCUCUAUAUUCAUCAGCUUCCAAAUACUUUAGUUUCAGCUUUGUGAGCACCAUAUUAUGCGAGGACCACGAGAUUCAGACGUCAACGCGCAGCUUGUGGCCAGUGUUAAAAAGGACUGGACAACCAUUGGAUUGGUGAAGUUAUGCAUUUUGCAGAAUAUCACUUCCUCACGAAUGGUUUUUGGCAUACAAGUAGUCGCUGGUCACUUCCAUUCUGGAGGUCGAUCACCCUGGCUUCCCAGCGGAUUUGGGCAGCUAAUGUACGUGCUUUCUCUAUUGUACCCAAUGUAUCAGAAAGAAUAAUCCAUCCCUCAGGCCUUAAAAUACGAUCCAUCUCCAGAAGUAGUUCAAACAUGCUGCAUUUUUGUGAAGCAAUAUGGGAAAGGAGCCCAUUUGCAUGGAGCAAAUCAUACGUUCGGGGAUAUGUAGGGAAGGGUUCACACCAGUUAUGCAGAACACCGGCAAAACCUUGAUCAUGUAUGAGAGGAAGUGUAUUACGUGCCCCAAGAGGAACCACAUUCAUCACCCAUACGGCUUUUCUUGCCUCCAUUAAUGCAGCACUAAGACCGCCAUAAUGAGCAUUCAUGUCCAUGACAUUACGCACCAUAUUAUAUGGAGGUAAUGGAUCAUCAUCUCCUGGCCUUUUCGGAUGGUCAGAGAAAAUCAAGGGUGAUAGCAAAGACCAAUAAUUUCUCAGAGCUAAUUUCCAGAAGUUUGAAUCCUCGAAGAAAUCAUCAGGAUGGAGCCCAUGAAUUUCAAGCUCAGUUGAGUUCAGAUGAUCAGAUUUGCUAUGAAUUGGAACCCACCGGCGACUCGUUGUCCCAGAUAUACAGUGUGCAAGUGGUUGGUAGUACAUUUGCAUCUCAUUUCCUUUACAAACUGGUAUCUCACCCUGACUGGAUGUAUAACACUGAGAAUCAGCUGUCUUCUGCCAAAUAAACGUCUCUUCUUGCUGUGCCAAAAGAGACCAACAGAGCUUCUUAGUGAAUCCUUCCAGUGAACUAGAUGUAAUUCCG
rnacentral:misc_RNA from 1 species